rnacentral:rRNA from 1 species
GGGUUGUGAGGUUAAGCGACUAAGCGUACACGGUGGAUGCCCUGGCAGUCAGAGGCGAUGAAGGACGUGCUAAUCUGCGAUAAGCGUCGGUAAGGUGAUAUGAACCGUUAUAACCGGCGAUUUCCGAAUGGGGAAACCCAGUGUGUUUCGACACACUAUCAUUAACUGAAUCCAUAGGUUAAUGAGGCGAACCGGGGGAACUGAAACAUCUAAGUACCCCGAGGAAAAGAAAUCAACCGAGAUUCCCCCAGUAGCGGCGAGCGAACGGGGAGCAGCCCAGAGCCUGAAUCAGUGUGUGUGUUAGUGGAAGCGUCUGGAAAGGCGCGCGAUACAGGGUGACAGCCCCGUACACAAAAAUGCACAUGCUGUGAGCUCGAUGAGUAGGGCGGGACACGUGGUAUCCUGUCUGAAUAUGGGGGGACCAUCCUCCAAGGCUAAAUACUCCUGACUGACCGAUAGUGAACCAGUACCGUGAGGGAAAGGCGAAAAGAACCCCGGCGAGGGGAGUGAAAAAGAACCUGAAACCGUGUACGUACAAGCAGUGGGAGCACGCUUCGGCGUGUGACUGCGUACCUUUUGUAUAAUGGGUCAGCGACUUAUAUUCUGUAGCAAGGUUAACCGAAUAGGGGAGCCGAAGGGAAACCGAGUCUUAACUGGGCGUUAAGUUGCAGGGUAUAGACCCGAAACCCGGUGAUCUAGCCAUGGGCAGGUUGAAGGUUGGGUAACACUAACUGGAGGACCGAACCGACUAAUGUUGAAAAAUUAGCGGAUGACUUGUGGCUGGGGGUGAAAGGCCAAUCAAACCGGGAGAUAGCUGGUUCUCCCCGAAAGCUAUUUAGGUAGCGCCUCGUGAAUUCAUCUCCGGGGGUAGAGCACUGUUUCGGCAAGGGGGUCAUCCCGACUUACCAACCCGAUGCAAACUGCGAAUACCGGAGAAUGUUAUCACGGGAGACACACGGCGGGUGCUAACGUCCGUCGUGAAGAGGGAAACAACCCAGACCGCCAGCUAAGGUCCCAAAGUCAUGGUUAAGUGGGAAACGAUGUGGGAAGGCCCAGACAGCCAGGAUGUUGGCUUAGAAGCAGCCAUCAUUUAAAGAAAGCGUAAUAGCUCACUGGUCGAGUCGGCCUGCGCGGAAGAUGUAACGGGGCUAAACCAUGCACCGAAGCUGCGGCAGCGACGCUKAUGCGUUGUUGGGUAGGGGAGCGUUCUGUAAGCCUGYGAAGGUGUGCUGUGAGGCAUGCUGGAGGUAUCAGAAGUGCGAAUGCUGACAUAAGUAACGAUAAAGCGGGUGAAAAGCCCGCUCGCCGGAAGACCAAGGGUUCCUGUCCAACGUUAAUCGGGGCAGGGUGAGUCGACCCCUAAGGYGAGGCCGAAAGGCGUAGUCGAUGGGAAACAGGUUAAUAUUCCUGUACUUGGUGUUACUGCGAAGGGGGGACGGAGAAGGCUAUGUUGGCCGGGCGACGGUUGUCCCGGUUUAAGCGUGUAGGCUGGUUUUCCAGGCAAAUCCGGAAAAUCAAGGCUGAGGCGUGAUGACGAGGCACUACGGUGCUGAAGCAACAAAUGCCCUGCUUCCAGGAAAAGCCUCUAAGCAUCAGGUAACAUCAAAUCGUACCCCAAACCGACACAGGUGGUCAGGUAGAGAAUACCAAGGCGCUUGAGAGAACUCGGGUGAAGGAACUAGGCAAAAUGGUGCCGUAACUUCGGGAGAAGGCACGCUGAUAUGUAGGUGAAGCGACUUGCUCGUGGAGCUGAAAUCAGUCGAAGAUACCAGCUGGCUGCAACUGUUUAUUAAAAACACAGCACUGUGCAAACACGAAAGUGGACGUAUACGGUGUGACGCCUGCCCGGUGCCGGAAGGUUAAUUGAUGGGGUYAGCGCAAGCGAAGCUCUUGAUCGAAGCCCCGGUAAACGGCGGCCGUAACUAUAACGGUCCUAAGGUAGCGAAAUUCCUUGUCGGGUAAGUUCCGACCUGCACGAAUGGCGUAAUGAUGGCCAGGCUGUCUCCACCCGAGACUCAGUGAAAUUGAACUCGCUGUGAAGAUGCAGUGUACCCGCGGCAAGACGGAAAGACCCCGUGAACCUUUACUAUAGCUUGACACUGAACAUUGAGCCUUGAUGUGUAGGAUAGGUGGGAGGCUUUGAAGUGUGGACGCCAGUCUGCAUGGAGCCGACCUUGAAAUACCACCCUUUAAUGUUUGAUGUUCUAACGUUGACCCGUAAUCCGGGUUGCGGACAGUGUCUGGUGGGUAGUUUGACUGGGGCGGUCUCCUCCUAAAGAGUAACGGAGGAGCACGAAGGUUGGCUAAUCCUGGUCGGACAUCAGGAGGUUAGUGCAAUGGCAUAAGCCAGCUUGACUGCGAGCGUGACGGCGCGAGCAGGUGCGAAAGCAGGUCAUAGUGAUCCGGUGGUUCUGAAUGGAAGGGCCAUCGCUCAACGGAUAAAAGGUACUCCGGGGAUAACAGGCUGAUACCGCCCAAGAGUUCAUAUCGACGGCGGUGUUUGGCACCUCGAUGUCGGCUCAUCACAUCCUGGGGCUGAAGUAGGUCCCAAGGGUAUGGCUGUUCGCCAUUUAAAGUGGUACGCGAGCUGGGUUUAGAACGUCGUGAGACAGUUCGGUCCCUAUCUGCCGUGGGCGCUGGAGAACUGAGGGGGGCUGCUCCUAGUACGAGAGGACCGGAGUGGACGCAUCACUGGUGUUCGGGUUGUCAUGCCAAUGGCACUGCCCGGUAGCUAAAUGCGGAAGAGAUAAGUGCUGAAAGCAUCUAAGCACGAAACUUGCCCCGAGAUGAGUUCUCCCUGACUCCUUGAGAGUCCUGAAGGAACGUUGAAGACGACGACGUUGAUAGGCCGGGUGUGUAAGCGCAGCGAUGCGUUGAGCUAACCGGUACUAAUGAACCGUGAGGCUUAACCUUACAACGCCGAAG